GGGGAUAACUACUGGAAACGGUGGCUAAUACCGCAUAACGUCGCAAGACCAAAGAGGGGGACCUUCGGGCCUCUUGCCAUCAGAUGUGCCCAGAUGGGAUUAGCUUGUUGGUGAGGUAACGGCUCACCAAGGCGACGAUCCCUAGCUGGUCUGAGAGGAUGACCAGCCACACUGGAACUGAGACACGGUCCAGACUCCUACGGGAGGCAGCAGUGGGGAAUAUUGCACAAUGGGCGCAAGCCUGAUGCAGCCAUGCCGCGUGUAUGAAGAAGGCCUUCGGGUUGUAAAGUACUU
rnacentral:rRNA from 1 species